UUUUAAAUUGCAAAGAUAGGUUUAUUUUAAUGUAAACCUAUCGCAAACACAACUAUUUUUUUAAAUAAAAUGGAACAGUUUGCUCCACUAGAACUCAAAGCUACGUUUGCAUGGCCAUUCACUUCACUUUUGGGUGCCGCACAACCCAAAAUCGCUUCAAGUUAAUCAAGGCUCAAUAUUUAUCCAAGUUGCUUAAAAAGCGAUUCAAAAAUGCGUCCACAGCUUGUUGAAAACUAAAUUUGUGGAAGCUGUCAACUGUAGCAAAUGAAUUUCACGCCUUGAAAUGCGGCUAAAGUUCAACAGUCUGAUGAAGUUAUUGCAAUGUUUUAGUUUCAGUUUUAGUUGCAGUUCAGGUGAUGAGAUCUUUGUGGCUUGUAUGCGGGUUCUUGGCAUUGCUUUCUCUUAAAGUAAUAAAUGCUGAGGAUGCAGACGCAGUGAUGGAGAAAUGUGAAAUGCGAGUCAUGGUAUUUGAGGGAUAUCAACGCACAAUGUGCGCUCCACUUCAAGUGGUGUGGGUACUGUCAAACGGUGUAUGCCGCAAAGGAUUCACUUGUGCCAAGGGCUAUAGUGAACGGGAAUGUAAAGAAAAGUGCCUGAA